AAAUCCUCCCUUUCCAUGCCAUGGAAUAGCUGUGGAACCAUUUUGUGGAGGCUGCUAUGGUUCAGUGGUUGGAAUAAGGCCUGUUAAGAUACAUAACACAGGCUAAAUUAUGGCCAUAGCUUUGCAAUGUGAAAUUACACCACCUCUGGGGACACACUAAGCACUAUGUUCACAUUUGAGAGAUCUGGAACACCUGGAGGCUGUGGGCACAGACUAUUACCUCUUUCUGUAGACUGAUUCCUAGAGGAGGUGGUGUAAGAACAAAGCUCAUUUUGGAACUGAAAUCCUCUUUUUGCGAGACAGGAGAGGAAGCAUCUGAGAAAAUAUUCAAAGAUCAUGAGGAACAGAAAGAAACAGAACAGCUAGGAGGGGCAGAUGAAAUGAAGAGCAAAGGAUCAAAACAGACUCACCAUCCUGGAAGAAAACAGGCAGAUGAGAACAGCAGAACAGUUCCUAAAAAAUGAUAAAUGACAAACUUGCUUAAACCCUGCACUUGCAAUUUACUUGAAGAAAAU